rnacentral:rRNA from 1 species
GCUCAGUAACACGUGGAUAACCUGCCCUGUGGAGGGAAAUAACCCCGGGAAACUGGGGAUAAUGUCCCAUAGACUACGGAUACUGGAAUGUUCUGUAGUUCAAAGAUUUAUCGCCACAGGAUGGAUCUGCGGCCGAUUAGGUAGUUGUUGGGGUAACGGCCCAACAAGCCUUUGAUCGGUACGGGUUGUGGGAGCAAGAGCCCGGAGAUGGAUUCUGAGACACGAAUCCAGGCCCUACGGGGCGCAGCAGGCGCGAAAACUUUACAAUGCGGGAAACCGUGAUAAGGGAACUCCGAGUGUCCGUAAAUGCGGACUGUCCGUAUGUCUAAAAAGCAUGCGAAGAAAGGGCCGGGCAAGACCGGUGCCAGCCGCCGCGGUAAUACCGGCGGCUCGAGUGGUGGCCACUAUUACUGGGCUUAAAGCGUUCGUAGCUUGGUUGUUAAGUCUCUUGGGAAAUCUAUCGGCUUAACCGAUAGGCGUCCAGGGGAUACUGGCAAUCUAGGGACCGGGAGAGGUGAGGGGUACUUCAGGGGGUAGGGAGUGAAAUCCUGUAAUCCUUGGGGGACCACCUGUGGCGAAGGCGCCUCACCAGAACGGCUCCGACAGUGAGGGACGAAAGCUGGGGGAGCAAACCGGAUUAGAUACCCGGGUAGUCCUAGCCGUAAACGAUACUCGCUAGGUGUCGGCCACGGUGCGACCGUUGUCGGUGCCGUAGGGAAGCCGUGAAGCGAGCCACCUGGGAAGUACGGCCGCAAGGCUGAAACUUAAAGGAAUUGGCGGGGGAGCAC